ensembl:lncRNA
CCGGGCUUAGGGACAGGCAUUAACAGUGACAGAUAAAUCAGAACACAGGAGGAAGUGGGUGAGGCUGACAGGUUUAUCCAUAAUCACCUCUUAUUGGGCAAUAUGCAUUCAAACCAGAUAUUUCUGUGGAAGUGUUUCUUCCAGUGAAAAAGCUUUCAUAGAUCAUUUCCUGAUAAACAGUACUAUAAAUAUGACUAAAGAAAUCCAGUGUGCUUCAGACUUCAGUCGAAGACGUUACCAGUCAACUUCACUUCUUAAUAUACCAGAGACUCUGCGUAAACUCCAGACCAGGUAUUACAGAAAACUGAAAUGGUAGACCAAAGAAGACCUCUGUGUCCUGCAGAAGCUGUGAUUGUGGGUGGGACGGGAGGAGAUUAUUUCUCCUUUGAGUCUGCCUCCUACGUCACCAUUAAGAAGCUCAACGUUACUUACAGUGAGACAACACUGAACUCAGUCCAGGUGAUUUUCACCUGUGGCCACAUGAUUAAAGUGGGUAACUCAACAGGAUCGAAGAAUCAAGAAAUUGUGUUUGAUGACAAUGACUACUUAAUCUCUGCAAAACUGUGGCCAAAUAAGACUGGUAACAGAUGUGGGGGGUUUGAGUUUAAAAGCAAUGGAAACAUAACAUUUUCUGUCAAGUGUCAGGAACUGGGUGAGCCUGUGAGUUUGGAAACGAAGUGUGGAAUGAUUAAUGGCAUCACAGGCAGAAGUGGAGAUGAAAUUGAUGCUCUGGGCUUCUACUUCAUUUAGUCUACAGCUAUGCAUACAUACAGGUUGCUGACAGCAUCCAAAAUAUCUGAACAUUUCAAAAUGACAUAUGCACAGCAAUCAUAUAAUCAUAUAAUUGUAUCAGAUAAUAUACACAUCAGAUUUCAUGACUAAACGUGAAGUAUCAGAUUUGAAUCAAUCAAUAUUACUUUAAACUUUUCUACUAUCAAUUAUUAAAUUUUAGGUACUUGUAGCCAUACUAGGCAAAAAACUUUAAUAAAUAAAUGACAAGGUAAAAAUAUCA